rnacentral:rRNA from 1 species
GGGGGGAAACCCCUCGCCCGCUUGUCAAACUCCAAACCCACUGUCAUCAAAGAUAGUCGGAGUCCGGACUGCUGGGGUAAGCUUGUAGUCCGUAAGGGAGACAACCCAGCCCGUGGUUAAGGUCCCCAAGUGUCGACUAAGUGUAAACACUAAAGGGCGUCCCAAGCCCAAGACAGCUGGAAGGUUAGCUUAGAAGCAGCUACCCUUCAAAGAGUGCGUAACAGCUCACCAGUCGAGGUUUGGGGCCCCGAAAAUUGACGGGGCUCAAGUCGACCACCGAUACCACGGAGUACCGCAAGGUAAUCUCGUAGGAAGGCGUUGUGUUCGGGCUGAAGCAGGGCUGUGAAGUCCUGUGGACCGUUCACAAACGAAAAUCCUGGUAAUAGUAGCAGCAUAGCAGGGUGAGAAUCCCUGCCGCCGAAGGGGCCAGGUUUCCUCGGCAAUGUUCGUCAGCCGAGGGUUAGUCGGUCCUAAGACGUACCGUAAUUCGAGUACGCCAAAAGGGAAACAGGUUAAUAUUCCUGUACCAUUUAGCACUGAGUCUGACGUCUCAGGGCAGGCCGAGCGGCGUCGUCGCGCCGUCUAAGCAGCGAAACCCGUGGAGAGCCGUAAUGGCGAGAAUCGGGCGAAUCUGUAAUGGCUCAAGUCGGCUGCACCCAGGGACCCGUGAAAAGGCAGCUAAAUGUCCGUACCGAGAACUGACACAGGUGCCCCUAGCUGAAAAGGCUAAGGCGUGUCGGAGUACUUCAGUUAAGGGAAUUCGGCAAAUUAGCUCCGUAACUUCGGGAUAAGGAGUGCCUGCUGUGAAGACAGCAGGUCGCAGUGACCAGGGGGCUCUAACUGUCUAAUACCAACAUAGGAGAUUGCAAACCCGUAAGGGCUAGUACAAUCUCUGAAUCCUGCUCAGUGCAGGUACCUGAAACCCCGGUUCAACGGGAAGAAGGGCCUGUAAACAGCGGGGGUAACUAUGACCCUCUUAAGGUAGCGUAGUACCUUGUCGCUUAAUUGGCGACUUGCAUGAAUGGAUCAAUGAGAGCCCUACUGUCCCUAACUGGAAUCCGGUGAAGCUUACAUUCUAGUGCACAGUCUAGAGACCUCUAGGGGGAAGUGAAGACCCCGUGGAGCUUUACUGCAGCCUGUCGCUGGGUUGUGGUUCUGGAUGUACAGAGUAGGUAGGAGGCGUCGAAGCGUGUGCGCCAGCAUGCGUGGAGCCACAAUUGGGACACUACCCUUCUGGGACUACGACCCUAACUCUGCGAAGAGGACCCCGAUAGGUGGGCAGUUUGCCUGGGGCGGGACGCCCUUGAAAAGAUAUCAAGGGCGCGCAAUGGUUGACUCAAGUGGGUCGGAAACUCACUGAAGAGUGCAAGAGCAUAAGUCAGCCUGACGUUAUUCAGCACAGCAGUGGAUGACGAGACGAAAGUCGGUUCUAGCGAACUUUUGAGCCUCCUUGGUGGGGGCCAAAAAUGACAGAAAAGUUACCCCGGGGAUAAUUGAGUCGUUGCCGGCAAGAGUACAUAUCGACCCGGCAGCUUGCUACCUCGAUGUCGGUUCUUUCCAUCCUGGCCGUGCAGCAUCGGCCAAGGGUGAGGUUGUUCGCCUAUUAAAGGAGAUCGUGAGCUGGGUUUAGACCGUCGUGAGACAGGUCGGUUACUAUCUACUAGAGGUGCACAAGGUCUGCGGGUAAGCUGCUUUUAGUACGAGAGGAACCAAGCAGCGGCGCCACUGGUGUACCGGUUGUCUGACAAGGCAUCGCCGGGCAGCUACGCGCUAAGGAAUAAGAGCUGAAUGCAUCUAAGCUCGAAAUCUGACCUAAAAAGAGACCUUUUUAAGGAUUCCGGUAGAAGACCGGUUUGAUAGAAACGGGAUGUAAGCACCAAGGCAACGAGGUGUUCAGUCCGCGUUCACUAACUAUCCGUUCCU